UGCAUCAAUGAAAUGAAAUAGUUAAGUUGUUGUUAUUAAUUAGAUGGAAAUCAUAAAGAAUGUUGUUUCAAAACAAAUCAAAAGCUACUUAUAUUAUCCUCAGGCAUUCAGCAACCAGUAAAUGCACUCGUGCGUUCGUAAAAUACAUUUCACAAUCGAUAUAAUAUGAAAUUGUAUGUUAAGAUCAAAAUCAGUUGUUCAAAUCUUAAUUGACAUGUACACCACCCUGUAUUACUGGCACCGGAUAUGUACACCACGCUGUAUUACUGGCACCGGUAAUGUACACCAUACUGUACUACUGGCACCGGUGAUGACAGAUUCAUACAAUGAUUACAGAAAUCUAAAUUUACUGAUUAACAACCAGUAGGUUAUCAUUCAGUUCGUCUUAUUACAUUACUCAAAUAAGGUUAAUUUUAUUGCUAUAAACCUACUGUCCACUGAGUAGAGACACUUCACGAACUCGUUUUCCCCAUUUUGUAAUAUAUUUUGAACAGGUUAAAAAUGACAUCCGUGAAAAUGGUUAUUAAUUUUCUAAUAAAUAUCUCAAGUUUGAAAUAAAUAAAGGGAUUUCGUAUUAUACACAUAACUCAUCAUAACUUAGGGUCAUGCAAGCAAGGUUUCGAGCUCACGGAAACAAUGUUGUGCCCCUGACAGGACUUGAGCCCACACAGCCAGCAAUCCUUAAGAUUACUAGUCCAACACGUUUAAACAAAGGAAAUUUGUGUAAAUUUGAUAACUGUUAACAACACUGCAUCUUUACACUGCUGGAACCGUGAUGGUUUAAAUGCCAGGUGGAACAUCCGUGUAUUCUGAUCAUGUAAUUUUAUUGUGCUGUUAACUGACUAGCUUUUUUAAAUAUCUACCUUUAUAAUGGACAAUUGAAUAAAAAAAUGGAAGCUUGAAAAGUCCAUUUCACAAAUUCAAUAUGUUACGGAUUUAGCUUGCAACUCUGUACAGUCUUACCGGUGUCAGCAAUGUCAGCUGCCUAGGCUUAAUAAAUAUUAUUUUGCCGCUCGAUCAUAACAUUACCUAGGGGAGCGGUGGCCUAGUGGUUAAGGUGUCUGUCUCUCAACCCAGGAUUCAUGGGUUCGAGCAGUAAUCAGGUCACGACCAUGUUUCUUCAUAUGCCACCAUUCAUGGUUGGUUCCAGGAAGCGGAUUCGAAAGUGAUUAAUAUAAGUUGCAAGAACUUGUUCCGCAAUCGAGCUUAAAUACAUAUGUUUAAAUUAAACCAAACCUCUUCUAUUACAAGUAGGAAAAGUCGAGAAUAGGUAAUGCCCCCAGGUUAAUAUUUGAAAACAAAGUGUGAAAUAUAUUUCCCGCAUAUAUAUGCAUAUAAAACGUUUUAGAAACGUUCAUGUUUUGUAAUAACCGCUUGAUUUGCAUAACUGUAGUGGUAUAUAUACCGUAUUUAGAUAUAUCAAUAAGCCUCCUUAAUUAUAUCAUUAGGGAAAUGUCUGCCCUUUGAUAAAUGGGCGGACAACUCUUUGUCCCUUUCUCGAAUGAGAAGGGAAAUCCUGUGGUGCGUGUAUGUGGUCGCACGGUCACUUUCCUUCUUACAUGUCCUCGAUGCGUGUAUGUGGUCACACGGUCGAAAAUCUCUAACAAAAAUGACACAGAUUUUCUAAAAUGUUUUGGUACGAAAAACACCCUGUUUCUAAAAAUAUUAAUGAUCUAUGAAAACUUACUAGAACCAACAAGUCUUCAAAGCCAAAUGGACGAUGGUACUUUUAAAUAGGACUUAUUAAAUCGUAAUAAGGUCUUUCUUGUUCCUAAAUAGGAGAAAUAACAAAAACAAAAUUGUUACUCGCAAUUAAAAAUAGUUUUUUCCUCUAAAUUCGAGAAAUAUUUUAUUUUUGCCACUUAGUAACCCUUUAUGUAUGAAUUGGAUUAGUCUUUGUAAGUUCUAAUUUAAAGUUGAGAAAUGAAAACCUAAUGAGGACUUUGAAGAGCGUAGAAAGUCCAUUUUAAGAAAUAGGAAAAUCCUAAGGUUAAGCUUUAAUAAAAGCCUAAUAUCCUAGUUUGAACAUCAUAGUAGAUGUUUAUACAUGGCACUUAUUAGGAUUUUAUUUCUUCUUGUAAUAUAAUAAAAAAGAAGGAAGAAACAAACAUUCUAAUUAGCAUAGUCAUAGUUAGUUUUUUCUGCCAAUUAGUAGUUAAAAUCCUAAUAAGUCUAUAAUUUCUCCUUACACGACUUUCUACGUAACAAAAUCCUAUUUAUGCUAUCAUAGCUUCUAAUUGACUUAAAACAUUUUACGAGUACGAAGUUACAUAUAAGGUCUAAAGCAACGAAAAGAAAUUGAUCUUAAUUGCUUUAUAUAAAUAUACCAACUAAGCUUAUAGCCUUUACCUGUAGUAAUCGGCAAAUUUGGAGUUUUGUCAUCACUUCAGCAACCUGUCAUCACUGGCGCCGGUAUUACAGUGUGGAAAUUACAACAAGUCGGGACACCUCGGCGGUAAUUCAUUAACCUUAUCCGAAGUUUAACGGAAAGAGCCGAGAAGAUGCAAUUAUCAAUUCAAAUACAAAAUUGAUAUUUUUUUUUUACAUCUCUACAAUUUUAUUUUCAGCUCAGCUUGCAAGCUCGGAUUGUAUGGAUUGCUCGCCGUGUAAGGUGCAAAUUUCAAUAAAUAAUCAGUCAACAGCCUGUCCGGAGAUGUGUAGGUCUAAAGGAUCUGACCCCGACAGCGAGUUUAUGAAACGCUGCAACCAGAAGUUCUUCUGCAGUAUCAAAUACUGUUAUUGCUCGAGCCAGGCCUGUAACGGAAGUGCCCGGAUGGGGAAGAUGUCGGCAUUCGCACUGAUUUCGUUUAUACUCGCCAGUUUUACACUGAAAAACUUUCUUUAACAUUCCCUAUAAAAUUCUGAAAUCUGUCGAGUGAUAUCAAGUUUAUUUUGUCUUGUUUGAUUACGAACGUUAUAUUAGUAUAAUAUAUCCCUGAAUAAACUGAAACCUUUUUUAUAUUUUUGACCAAAUUACUUGAACUGUUUCACAAAAUGAAGUUGUUUAUUUUCUCUUACAAAAAUAUUGUCUUUCAUUGCACUGUAAUAUACAAAACUUGUUUAAGAUGUAGAAUUUGUUAGUGUUACAAACGAAAUAAAGGAUUUAUUUUAUCACAGAA